rnacentral:misc_RNA from 1 species
UUUCCGUAGGUGAACCUGCGGAAGGAUCAUUAAAGUUAUAGUCCCCCGGCCCUCUGUGCUGGGGUCUUCUAUACCACCCUUUGUUUAUUACGACUUUGUUGCUUUGGCAGGCCUGCCCUCGGGCUGCUUGCUCCGGCCGGCUGGCGUCCGCAAGAGGACUUAAACUCUGUUUGUAUAUGACGUCGGGGUACUAUAUAAUAGUUAAAACUUUCAACAACGGAUCUCUUGGUUCUG